CCUGAAGAAAUAUCCUGUACAUGAUGACACCAUUGUGUUCUGUCAUAAUAGUGCUAUUAAUACAUCUGAACAGAGUCUAAGCAAGACUUUGCAGCUGUCAGACAAAAGUGAGGUGGAGAUGUCCUCACGAUGGUCAAGCUACUGAGAUCAAGAAGAUGCUGGCAGAUGUAUCCAUAGCCAAGGACAGGAGAGUGAUCCGAGAAUGCAUACAGUAUGGCUGCCUCACACCCCAUGUCAGGGUCCUUCAGUGCAAGAGGUAGUUGAACAGCCAAACACAAGCAAUACACUGUGUCCAACCCUCCAGCUACAAGUCUAAUGAUCAACUGGGGUAACUGGGAGAGAGUUCAAGGAGGGUCCACUCACAGGAAUCCUAGCCUCAUGCUGAGCUCCUCCACAGCCAUAAGAAGCAGGAAACAAAACAUCUGCAGAGCCAAUGAAAAAUAUCACUCAAGGGAAGAAAAGUAAUGUAAUAAAUGAAAGGAAAGUCAAGAAGACAUUUUGGAACACUUACUCCAAAAAAUAGAAUGCAUGUUUAUAAAAUGUGCCUCUGGACCUUAAGGAAAUUUGAAAAGACAGGCUCUAUGUAUAAUAAAAUCUGUAAAUAUUA